GGAAUGUCGGCGGCCUGGAUUGCGCGUGCGCAGGCGCAGUCAGUGGGCGUCUCGAAGGCUUUCGGGGCUUCCUCGUCGCCUUCUCCCGCCGGCUGCCGCCGCCGCUCCGCCUACGUCCAGACUCCGCCCGGUUGUCCGAGUUGCGCAAUCCGUAGCCGGGGAAGCGCUACGUGGAGACCGGUCUAAGUGGAUGCCGAGCCCUGGAGCUGGGGAACUAGAGGGCGGAUCUUGACUAGGAUGCUGGACAUUCCUCAUGGGAAACCUGAGGAGGAUGCUAAAAAAUCAGCCACGGUUUACCUACUGCCUGCUGCCAAGUUUCUUGAGGGCCCUGCUGUUGGGGGGCUGUGGCUGAGUUUUUAAGCAAGAGCAAGUUACACAGCACAACACACCUCUCCUAUCCACAGAGGCUCAGAUAUGCCUUGUAUCAAUUCCUUCUGUUCCAUGGCAACAAUACCACAUACAUUUUACAUCCAGCCCUGUCCGAAUC